UACGGAGGGGGCUAGCGUUGUUCGGAAUUACUGGGCGUAAAGCGCACGUAGGCGGUUACUCAAGUCAGAGGUGAAAGCCCGGAGCUUAACUCCGGAAUUGCCUUUGAAACUAGGUGACUUGAAUCCAGGAGAGGUGAGUGGAAUUCCGAGUGUAGAGGUGAAAUGCGUAGAGAUUGGAAAGAACACCGAUGGCGAAGGCACUUUACUGGGCUAUUACUAACACUCAGAGACGAAAGCUAGGGUAGCAAAUGGG
rnacentral:rRNA from 1 species